GCACCAGUAGCUCAACGGCAGAGCAGGCAACUCAUAAUUGCUUGGUUAUGGGUUCGAAUCCCAUCUCGGUGCACCA
rnacentral:tRNA from 1 species